GAUGAACGCUGGCGGCGUGCCUAACACAUGCAAGUCGAGCGAACAGACGAUGAGCUUAUUCCUCUGACGUUAGCGGCGGACGGGUGAGUCACGCGUGGAUCACCUACCUAUAAUUCUGGGAUAACUCCGGGAAACCGGAUCUAAUACCAGAUAACAUGUUGAACCGCAUGGUUCAACAGUUAACGACGGUCUUGGUGUCACUUAUAGCUGGAUCCGCGUUGCAUUAGAUAGUUGGUAAGGUAACGGCUUACCAAGGCGACGAUGCGUAGCCGACCUGAGAGGGUGAUCGGCCACACUGGAACUGAGACACGGUCCAGACUCCUACGGGAGGCAGCAGUAGGGAAUAUUGCGCAAUGGGCGCAAGCCUGACCGAGCAACGCCGCGUGAGUGAAGAAGGCCUUCGGAUCGUAAAGCCCUUUUGUUGGGGAAGAACAACUGUGGAAGGAAACAAGGCCGUCGUGACGGUACCCAAUCAAGAAGCACCGGCUAACUACGUG
rnacentral:rRNA from 1 species